ensembl:lncRNA
UAAUCCAAAACAUCAUGGGGUGCCGGCUGUUUGGUGCCAACAUACGUCACGUUCGUGCAAUGCCAUUCCCAAACAAGAUAAGCAUGAAGGACAGUACUCAUAGGCAGAGUUUUCACCCCCCCUCUCCUGACCCUCUAACUAAAAUCACCCAGUGCUUCCAGAAGUUGUCCUUGUCCCAAACGGGGGCACAACAACUCCCACCCCCCCCUCGCACUCACCCUCUCCUUUCUCACUGAAACGUGUCUGACAGAAGAUUGUAAUGCUCCUAUUCUUAACGAGACAGCACCUGAAAUUUGGCUAUAUGAAUAUGUGUCGAAAUGGUAGGAAAGGAGGAGGAGUGGCUGCCCUAUUCAAAGAUACAUUCCAGUGCAAAGAAAGUACACUAGGUAAUUUUAUUUAUUUUGAAUACCUCUGUUUUACAUUGAAGGUUACGCACAAUUUUGUUUUUAACCAUUUACUGAUUUUGCUGAACUACUCUGUUAUAUCAGUUGAUUAUAACUUGUUUAUUAUUCCAGGGGAUUGUUGCCACCACUAAGCGGCAACCGUCCUGGCGCCGGGACACCAAACGUUUAUGCCACGAAGUGUGCAAGUUGUUGUACAUUUUUUUUUUGUUAUAGGCAUAUAUGUGCAGAAAGCUUAGAAUCUCAUUAAUCUAACUGCAGUACACAAUUUAAAGUAGCUUUUACGGCGACUAACUCCUAUGCAAGUGUUUGAGUAUAGUCAACAUCCACAAAAAUGGCACCAGGGUCGCUAGAGUCUCUAGCAAAAGUCUCCUAGAAGAAACAUUUCAACAUCUUAAAGCUUUCACUUGCUGUCUCGUCACACUGCCAUCAGACUUUUUAAAGAAUUUUUUUUACUCGAUAACAAUGGACCUACAACAAAUAGUUAAUAGCUCUCUACAAUCAGCCAUUAAACCCCUAUUAAGAAAUUAGGGAAUUAAUCCUGCUGGAGGAAUUCAAAAACCACCUUACUGACCGUAUUGUUGUUCUUUUAAAUGAAAAGAAGGUGGCGACGUUGACCCAGGCAGAUUAGUAUUCUGAUGAAACCCUAAUAACUAGAAAAGUACAUUUCCUGAAGAAUGUGGUGUGCUUGCUAGCGGUUUAAAAAGUGUUCAUGGUUUGAAAUAGUGUUUACCUAUCGAAAGGUUUGGAGUCCGUAUAUUUAAAGGUUCAAGAGAUGGGGUUGAUGAGUGUAAUUAGCAUAAAUUAACAUACAUGACAAUUAAACCUCAAAAGUUUUACCAAUUGCAGAUUUCGUGUCUGUAGCUCGAACAGUUCAAAUAAUGCAGCCUAGUAGUUAACACUAUUUACGAUAAUUAGCAUAUGUAAAAUCGAUAACCGUUUCAUAAUUUCCAGUGGGGAUAGCUUAAACGUGUGAAACAAAGUUGGUUUUGUUUGGUUGGUUUUGAACCUCAAAAGGUUCAAAAUAUACAGCUUAAUUGCUAAUUUGAUGCUAAUUUUGCUAAUUAGCAUAUGUAAAAUCAAUAAAGGUUUCUUUAUGUAAACUGGGGAUAGCCUUAACUGGUGAAACCAGUCUGUUUUGUGUCUGCUGCUUGAGCGGUUCAAAAGUUUCAGCCUAGUAGUUAAUUUAUUCUAAUUACGCAAAUGUGCAUAUGUAAAAUCAAAUAACUUUUCCUAAUUUGAAGGAGGGAGAGCCUAAACCGGUGUAACAAAGUUGGUUUUGUGUCUGCAGCUCGAACGAUUCAGAAGAUACAGCCUAGUAGUUAAUUAAUGCUAAUCACGCAAAUUAGCAUACGCAAAAUUGAUAUACGUUUCCAAGUUUGAAGUAGGGAUAGCCUAAACUGGUGUAACAAAGUUGGUUUCGUGACUGCAGUUUGAACGGUUUAAAAGAUACAGCCUUAUACUAAAUUAACAGUAAUCACGCAAAUUAGCAUAUGUAAAAUCAAUUAACAUUUCAUAAUUUGCAGUGGGGAAAGCCAAAUGUGUGAAACAGAGUUGGUUUCAUGUCUGUAACUCAAACGGUUGAAAUAAAAUACAGCCUAAUUGCUAUUUCAUGCUAAUUAAGCUAAUUAACAUAUGUAAAAAUAGAUAACAAUUUCUUAAAUUGCAGUGGGGAUUCCCGAAACUGGUGUAAACAAGUUGGUUUCAUGUCUGUAGCUCAAACAGUUCAAAAGAUACAGCCUAGUAGUUAGUUUAUGCUAAAUAUGCAAAUUAGCAUAUGUAAAAAUCGAUAAACGUGUCCUAAUUUGAAGUAGGGAUUGACUAAACUGGUGCAAAAAAAAUAGUUUUGUGUCUUUAGCUUGAACGGUUCAGAAGAUAUAGCCUAAUUGCUAAUUCAUACUAAUAACACAGAUUAGCAUACGUUGAAUCGAUAAACGUUUCAUAUUUGAAGUAGGGAUAACUUAAACGGGUGUAAAAAAGUUGGUUUCGUGUCUUUUGCUCAAACGGUUCAAAAGAUACAGCCUAAUCGCUAAUUAAUGCUAAUUAUGUAAAUUUGCAUAAUAAAUCGAUAAACGUUUCCUAAUUUGAGGUACACUAAAAUAAUUGACUGUAGAUUUACUUUCACAGUAAGUGACUGUAUGUACAUUUACAGUAAAUUACUGGGAACUAGUUACACAGUUUCACAGUAAGUUACAGUGCAUUAUAGUAAAAUGACAGCUGUAUACUGUGACCUCACAGUAUUUAUGCAAGUAGAUUACUGUCAUUUAGCGGUAUGCUGCUGUAGAAUUACGAAAUUGUCAUUGUAAUGCAAUGUGCUGUAAAUUUAAUACUGUAGAUUUGACCUUUUCACAAUUUCUAUCUGUUCAAUAAACCCAUCAAUAACCUAAAUCUUUGAAAAAUGUGUUAAAUUCAAAUAAACACAAAAACAUGAUACAUUUUUUUAGCAGUUUUAUAUAAACUUUGCAGGACAGUGCAACUACUGCAUUCAUGUUUGUGUCAAUUUCAUUUAGAACCUUUAUACAUCAUAUUCUUAAAACAUUUAGAAGUUGAAGCUAUUUAAAGAUGUUACUUUGGGCUCUAGGAAAUAGUAAUUUCUCAAAAAUGUUUACAUUUUGUAGACUAAACAAUCAAUUGAUUAAUAGAGCAGAUAAACUGGUAAAUAAAGCUGCAAAUGGUUCAUGCUUUGGUACUAAAUAAAAUAAACGUUAGCUGCAGGCCUACUUUAUACAUCAGUUGGCGGCAAUAUACAUAAAAUAGAAUUUUAAAGACAUUUUUCACCUCCAGUUUCACAAAUUAAUUCAAUAAAACGGAAGAGUGAAAUAUUAAAAACACACUUAUAAAACAGUAAACCUUUAACUUAUGCUGUAUGCAUGUCUUGCUUUUCACAGUUACUACAUUGACAUCCACUCAAAGUCAAUUACUUUCCUGAUUAGUGUACACACUUGCUGGUUGAUUUGUCCUCCCUGUUGCUUUGAUUUUGUGCCGUCUCUGAAUUAAUGCCCAAAAAGCACCUAUAAACCAAAACACAGGAGGAAAGUCAUAAGUUUCAUUCAAGUGGGUUUUCCCAAACAGUUUGGACAAUUUGACAUUACUGUGGUUUAGUUAAACAGCAAUUAUUUAAAAUAACAGGAACUGAAAACCAUUUCCAUCACAAACACUUCAAACAACAAAGUGCAGGUGUGUGAUUUACCCAGGCAGCAUCCAUGCAGUGGGCUUCAUUAUGUCAGAUAUACUCAUCAUGCCCUACUGAAAAGGAAGUAAUGUUGUGGCGUAGGCAUAUUGCUUUAAAUCACUGUUAAAAACAUCACUUUGCUUUGGCUUUUCCUUCAAGUAAUUAAAGUUCUUAUCCCAGGCGAUUUUAUUAUCAUCAUCAUCAUUAUCAUGUAUGCUAUGAUAUACUCUGUACUCUAAUGUACUUUUACCUUGUAAUUACUGUUUUUUGUUGUACUUUUACCCUGUAAAGAGCCUUGGUCAACCUUGGUAGUGUGCUAUCUAAAUAAAAUUGAUGUUGUAUAUAACAAUACCAUUAUAAUAGCUGCAAUAAAUUCUAAAUGCUGAACCUAUGGGUAAAAGGUAAAUACAGCUGCUUAUAAAAAGAAAAGACCAAGUGAUUUAAUUGGGUUGUGAUAGCAGGUCUGAAUUAUGUUGGCUUCAGGCAGUGAGGCAACCUUUUUUUUAUAUUUAGAAGUUUACAUUAAAUGAGUACAACAUCAUAGUCUGAACCAUGCACAGAGAUAGUUCGCAAUACAGUUUCUGAAGGUGUAAAUGCACCCAUUAUUAGUUUACCAAAAAAAUAACAAUGCUGUCAGUGUCUCUUGCCUUAUAUUUUUAAUUUUACCUAGGGAUGCACUGACCGAUCAGCUGGUAAACAGAAUCAGCUAGUUUUCAUCAUAAUUGGCCAUGACCGGUGACAAUCAUUCUCACAUAUCCAAUCCUGUGCCGGUCAAAUUUACAUGCAUGCAGACAGUAACCGACACAGCCGCAGCCAGUCUGCACAGGGUGUUUUAUUUUGAAAAUUGACCGAAUUCUCUAUGCCAUCCUGUGUCUGACUUCCUACCAGGUUCGAUCUGCUCUGUGCUUGACGUGACUUCCGUCAAAAAUAGACUUGCCAUGUAUUCUCCGCACAGCGGAGAGCUGCUGCUGGGACACGCUGUGACUCGUCUGUUUCAGGUAGCUCAACAUGUUCUGGACUCGCUGGAAAAGGAAGUAUCUACUGGAGCUGAGAUCAGCCCACACCAGAGAGCCCACAAUACCACAGAUGUUCUUGUAACCCAUCCACCAGUGAAGUCAGAAUUUCAUCAGAGAAACCUGUAAGACAUUACUGAGGAGACCCCGGGGAAGACCUAGGGCACGAUGGAGGGACUAUGUAUCCCGGCUGGCCUGGGAACGCCUCGGUGUCCCCCCAGAAGAGCUAGAGGAAGUGUCUAGGGAGUGGGAAGUCUGGGCAUCUCUGCUUAGACUGCUGCCCCCGCGACCCGGCCCCGGAUAAGCGGAAGAAGAUGAAUGAACAUUACUGAGUGUUUGGUUGUGUGACUAAGCGUGGUGCAAGAUUCAAAAGCAAACACUCCCACAGCAACUCCAGAGUAUACAAAUGUUGAAGGCAAAGAAGACAUCCCUGGGCCAGUUAUUUUUUUAAAACAAGUGAUUGUGCAAAUGAGGCCAGCAAGAUCACAGAAAUGAAUCAGUCUCCUGCUCCUCCUUAUUUAAUUUGACGGGUUUGGAAUGCAGAGAAAUACAUUUAAUAAAAGGCUAAUGUCUUAAUAUAAUUGAUCUUCACAAAACGCAACCGCAUAGCAAUGACAAUUAUGUUUCCCUGCGCAUCAUGACGUUUCACCUCUCGCUCUGCUGCAAAUAUUAUAGUCAAGUUAUUUGAAAUAACCUUCCUUACAUAGCAAACAUUUUUUCUACUUUAAUAUGCAAUGGGACAACAUAUUUAAAUCCAUACAUUUUAAUGGGCAUUAUCUAAUUAGGAAAUAUGGUUGGAAAUGACAAAAUUCUACUUACAAUAUUAGUCAAAAUAUUUUACACAGGUGUGAGUGUUUUUUUGUCGAUCAGAGUUGAUGGGACAAAUAAGUGACUGAAAUAUGUAUCUUAAUGUUGCGAAAUUAGGCUACAUUAUAGUGCAUUCCAAAACAAUUCUAAACUAGGUUUAAACAAUUAUAAACUAGGAAAUUAUAAAGCAAACGAGUUUCAGUAAAUUAUCUGUGCCUAUAACUUUACACAGAGCCUUUCAAACGCUCGAAUACAUGCAUGGGCUAGACAGCCUAUGGAAACUAGUGUUAAACCGAUUAUCGGUCUGGCCGAUAAUCUGCAGCAAUUUUUGCCUUUUACUAAUUUAGCUGUUAUUGGCUCUUGGCUAUCGACCAAGCCAAUAAUCCCUUUCAUGUAGUUGAUCAAAAUGUCCUGAUGGUGCGCAGAUCUAAAAGCUCCUGCCAGCCACUGCUAAAGGCUUUAUCUUUCAUUAAAAUAAAUAUUCUGCAGUGUGAAUUUUUCAGUGAUCCUAAGAACAAUCAAGCAAGGUAAAGUAUUUACCUAUUUGAGUCUUUGGACUAUUACAUAGCACUGUGGUUUUGAUGCUUAGUUUAAUUGAAUACUAAAGUUUACUGCUUUUCAACCAAAAUCUAUUUAAUUUAAAGUAGGUUUUGUGUCUGUGUCGUAUUUAGCAUUUUUCUGGUGCAAAUUUGAUUAAAAUUAAAAGAUGGGGAAUAUCGGCAUCAGCCUUAAUAAAAAAACUAUAUUUGUCUUGACGGCAUCCCUUACUUCCGGGGUCCACCACCGGGUUCGGGGAUUGCCGCCUCGACAGACACCGGAGACCUUACGGCCACAGCUCCGAGCGGCCGCUUCGACAAUGGCGGUGGAGAACAUGGUCCACUCGGACUCAAUAUCUCCAGCCUCCCUCGGGAUCCAGUCGAAGCUCUGCCGGAGGUGGGAGUUAAAGAUCUCUCUGACAGGAGACUCGGCCAGACGUUCCCAGCAGACCCUUACAGUACGCUUGGGCCUGCCGAGUCUGUCCAGCUUCCUCCCCCGCCAUCGGAUCCAACUCACAACCAGGUGGUGAUCAGUUGACAGCUCCGCCCCUCUCUUCACCCGA